rnacentral:rRNA from 1 species
UGGGGAAUUUUGGACAAUGGGCGCAAGCCUGAUCCAGCAAUGCCGCGUGUGUGAAGAAGGCCUUCGGGUUGUAAAGCACUUUUGUCCGGAAAGAAAUCCGUCUGGCUAAUACCCGGACGGGAUGCCGGUACCGGAAGAAUAAGCUCCGGCUAACUACGUGCCAGCAGCCGCGGUAAUACGUCGGGUGCGAGCGUUAAUCUGAAUUACUGGGCGUAAAGCGUGCGCAGGCGGCUUUGUAAGACAGAUGUGAAAUCCCCGGGCUCAACCUGGGAACUGCAUUUGUGACUGCAAGGCUAGAGUGCGUCAGAGGGAGGUGGAAUUCCGCGUGUAGCAGUGAAAUGCGUAGAGAUGCGGAGGAACACCGAUGGCGAAGGCAGCCUCCUGGGAUGACACUGACGCUCAUGCACGAAAGCGUGGGGAGCAAACA